CGAUUUGAACGGGUGACGGCGUGCCUUUUGCAUAAUGAUCCGGCGAGUUGUGGUAUGCGGCUUGGUUAAGCUCUUUCGGAGCGAAGCCCAAGGGAAACCGAGUCUUAAUAGGGCGAAUAUGUCGUAUGCUGCAGACGCGAAAGCUGUGUGAUCUACCCAUGGGCAGGUUGAAGCGUGGGUUAAACUGCGUGGAGGACCGAACCCACUUAGGUUGAAAACUGAGGGGAUGACCUGUGGGGAGGACUGAAAGUGUAAUCAAACCAGCAGAUAGCUCGUUCUCUCCGAAAUAUCUUGAGGGAUAGCGUCGAGCCACUAUUUACCGGGGGUAGAGAGACUGAAUCGGAUGGGGGCCCUUCCCGGGGUACCCCACCGAACCAAACUCCGAAUACCGGUAAAAUUAUCUCGGCAGUCAGUCCCUGGGGGAUAAGCUCCAGGGUCGAGAGGGAAACAACCCAGAUCGCCUGCUAAGGUCCCUAAUUAAUACUUAGUCACUAAGGAAGUUGAAGUGCCGUGACAGCUGGGAUGUUGGCUUAGAAGCAGCCACCAUUUAAAAAGUGCGUAACAGCUUACCAGUCGAGCAUUUCUGCGCCGAUAAUGAACGGGAGUAAGUAUUAAACCGAAGCAGCGGGUUUGUACGUAAGUACAAGCGGUAGGAGAGCGUUCGUGACCAGAUACGAGCCAUACGGUAACGAGUGGUGUCGGGGUCAUGAAGUGAUUAUGCCGGAAUGAGUAACGAUAAAACAGGUGAGAAUCCUGUUCGCCGAAAACCUAAGGUUUCCUGGGGAAGGUAAAUCCGCCCAGGGUUAGCCGGCCCCUUAGUCGAGGCCGAAAGGCGUAGACGAUGGGAAGUGGGUUAAUAUUCCCACGCCGCGUAUGGAGGACGUUGUGUGAAUCGAAGUCGGGGUGCUGGACAUCCCCGUCCCGCAAGGGCGAGUGCAUUGUUCACGAAGCUUCCUGAAACACAACCAAGAAAAGCCCAUACAACAGCGACCGUACUAAAACUGACACAGGUAGGUGGGGCGCGUAGCCUCAGGCGCUCGGGAGAACGCUGGUUAAGGAACUCGGCAAAUUGGCCCCGUAACUUCGGGAUAAGGGGUGCCAUCGCAAGAUGGUCACAGCAAAGCGGCGGUAGCAACUGUUUACUAAAAACACAGGACUCUGCGAACUCGUAAGAGGAUGUAUAGAGUCUGACGCCUGCUCGGUGCCGGUAAGUUAAAGAAGAGGGUUAGCUUUCGGGCGAAGCCAGCAACUGAAGCUCCGGUAAACGGCGGCCGUAACUAUGACGGUCCUAAGGUAGCGAAGUUCCUUGUCGGGUAAGUUCCGACCCGCACGAAAGGCGUAAUGAGUUGGGCACUGUCUCAACAGCAGACUCGGCGAAAUUGUAGUCGUGAGAUCGGAAGAGCGUCGUGUAGG
rnacentral:rRNA from 1 species